rnacentral:rRNA from 1 species
GACAUAGGUGGCAACCGUUAUCCGGAAUUAUUGGGCGUAAAGGGUGCGUAGAUCGUAUGGUAAGUUACUGGUGGCAAAUCGAGGCUCAACCUCGUGGAAGUCAGUAAUACUGCUAUGCUAGAGUUCAGGAGAGGUUAACGGAACUCCAUGUGGAGCGGUAAAAUGCGUAGAGAUCCGGAAGAACACCGGUGGCGAAGGCGGCCUGCUGGGCAGUGGCUGACACUGAGGCGCGACAGCGUGGGGAGCAAACAGG